rnacentral:pre_miRNA from 1 species
AGCUUUCUAUAUCCGUGCUGAGAUUUCGUCAUACACCAGACCACAAGGGCUAAUGACACUCCCAAAAUAAGUGAAGCG